rnacentral:rRNA from 1 species
CCUACGGGCGACAGCAGUGGGGAAUAUUAGGCAAUGGGCGCAAGCCUGACCCAGCAACGCCGCGUGAAGGAAGAAGGCUUUCGGGUUGUAAACUUCUUUUGAUAGGGAAGAGUAGAAGACGGUACCUGUCGAAUAAGCCACGGCUAACUACGUGCCUGCAGCCGCGGUAAUACGUAGGUGGCAAGCGUUGUCCGGAUUUACUGGGUGUAAAGGGCGUGCAGCCGGGAAGACAAGUCAGAUGUGAAAUCCCGCGGCUCAACCGCGGAACUGCAUUUGAAACUGUUUUUCUUGAGUAUCGGAGAGGUAAUCGGAAUUCCUAGUGUAGCGGUGAAAUGCGUAGAUAUUAGGAAGAACACCAGUGGCGAAGGCGGAUUACUGGACGACAACUGACGGUGAGGCGCGAAAGCGUGGGGAGCAAACAGGAUUAGAUACCCGUGUAGUC